AUUGAACGCUGGCGGCAGGCCUAACACAUGCAAGUCGAGCGAGCGGCGGACGGGUGCGUACUGUCUGGGAACCUGCCUGAUGGCGGGGGAUCACUACUGGAAACGGUAGCUAAUACCGCAUACCAUCAGAUUUCCCCAGAUGGGAUUAGCUAGUAGGUGGGGUAACGGCUCACCUAGGCGACGAUCCCUAGCUGGUCUGAGAGGAUGACCAGCCACACUGGAACUGAGACACGGUCCAGACUCCUACGGGAGGCAGCAGUGGGGAAUAUUGCACAAUGGGCGCAAGCCUGAUGCAGCCAUGCCGCGUGUGUGAAGAAGGCCUUCGGGUUGUAAAGCACUGUCAGCGGGGAGGCGUUACCCGCAGAAGAAGCACCGGCUAACUCCGUGCCAGCAGCCGCGGUAAUUC
rnacentral:rRNA from 1 species